GGGGAUAACUACUGGAAUCGGUAGCUAAUACCGCAUAACGUCGCAAGACCAAAGAGGGGGACCUUCGGGCCUCUUGCCAUCGGAUGUGCCCAGAUGGGAUUAGCUUGUUGGUGGGGUAACGGCUCACCAAGGCGACGAUCCCUAGCUGGUCUGAGAGGAUGACCAGCCACACUGGAACUGAGACACGGUCCAGACUCCUACGGGAGGCAGCAGUGGGGAAUAUUGCACAAUGGGCGCAAGCCUGAUGCAGCCAUGCCGCGUGUAUGAAGAAGGCCUUCGGGUUGUAAAGUACUUUCAGCGGGGAGGAAGGGAGUAAAGUUAAUACCUUUGCUCAUUGACGUUACCCGCAGAAGAAGCACCGGCUAACUCCGUGCCAGCAGCCGCGGUAAUACGGAGGGUGCAAGCGUUAAUCGGAAUUACUGGGCGUAAAGCGCACGCAGGCGGUUUGUUAAGUCAGAUGUGAAAUCCCCGGGCUCAACCUGGGAACUGCAUCUGAUACUGGCAAGCUUGAGUCUCGUAGAGGGGGGUAGAAUUCCAGGUGUAGCGGUGAAAUGCGUAGAGAUCUGGAGGAAUACCGGUGGCGAAGGCAGCCCCCUGGACGAAGACUGACGCUCAGGUGCGAAAGCGUGGGGAGCAAACAGGAUUAGAUACCCU
rnacentral:rRNA from 1 species